rnacentral:rRNA from 1 species
AUUAAAUAGAGUUUGAUCCUGGCUCAGAAUAAAUGCUAUCGGUAUGCUUAACACAUGCAAGUUGAAUGUUUUUAAAACAUAGCGAACGG